rnacentral:rRNA from 1 species
UUAAGCGACUAAGCGUACACGGUGGAUGCCCUGGCAGUCAGAGGCGAUGAAGGACGUGCUAAUCUGCGAAAAGCGUCGGUAAGGUGAUAUGAACCGUUAUAACCGGCGAUGUCCGAAUGGGGAAACCCAGUGCAAUUCGUUGCACUAUCGUUAACUGAAUACAUAGGUUAACGAGGCGAACCGGGGGAACUGAAACAUCUAAGUACCCCGAGGAAAAGAAAUCAACCGAGAUUCCCCCAGUAGCGGCGAGCGAACGGGGAGCAGCCCAGAGUCUGAAUCAGCUUGUGUGUUAGUGGAACGGUCUGGAAAGUCCGACGGUACAGGGUGAUAGUCCCGUACACCAAAAUGCACAGGCUGUGAACUCGAAGAGUAGGGCGGGACACGUGGUAUCCUGUCUGAAUAUGGGGGGACCAUCCUCCAAGGCUAAAUACUCCUGACUGACCGAUAGUGAACCAGUACCGUGAGGGAAAGGCGAAAAGAACCCCGGCGAGGGGAGUGAAAAAGAACCUGAAACCGUGUACGUACAAGCAGUGGGAGCACCUUCGGGUGUGACUGCGUACCUUUUGUAUAAUGGGUCAGCGACUUAUAUUCUGUAGCAAGGUUAACCGUAUAGGGGAGCCGCAGGGAAACCGAGUCUUAACUGGGCGUUAAGUUGCAGGGUAUAGACCCGAAACCCGGUGAUCUAGCCAUGGGCAGGUUGAAGGUUGGGUAACACUAACUGGAGGACCGAACCGACUAAUGUUGAAAAAUUAGCGGAUGACUUGUGGCUGGGGGUGAAAGGCCAAUCAAACCGGGAGAUAGCUGGUUCUCCCCGAAAGCUAUUUAGGUAGCGCCUCGUGAAUUCAUCUUCGGGGGUAGAGCACUGUUUCGGCUAGGGGGUCAUCCCGACUUACCAACCCGAUGCAAACUACGAAUACCGAAGAAUGUUAUCACGGGAGACACACGGCGGGUGCUAACGUCCGUCGUGAAGAGGGAAACAACCCAGACCGCCAGCUAAGGUCCCAAAGUCAUGGUUAAGUGGGAAACGAUGUGGGAAGGCACAGACAGCCAGGAUGUUGGCUUAGAAGCAGCCAUCAUUUAAAGAAAGCGUAAUAGCUCACUGGUCGAGUCGGCCUGCGCGGAAGAUGUAACGGGGCUAAACCAUGCACCGAAGCUGCGGCAGCGACACUAUGUGUUGUUGGGUAGGGGAGCGUUCUGUAAGCCUGCGAAGGUGGCCUGUGAGGGCUGCUGGAGGUAUCAGAAGUGCGAAUGCUGACAUAAGUAACGAUAAAGCGGGUGAAAAGCCCGCUCGCCGGAAGACCAAGGGUUCCUGUCCAACGUUAAUCGGGGCAGGGUGAGUCGACCCCUAAGGCGAGGCCGAAAGGCGUAGUCGAUGGGAAACAGGUUAAUAUUCCUGUACUUGGUGUUACUGCGAAGGGGGGACGGAGAAGGCUAUGUUAGCCGGGCGACGGUUGUCCCGGUUUAAGCAUGUAGGCGGAGGUUCCAGGUAAAUCCGGUACCUUUUAACGCUGAGGUGUGAUGACGAGGCACUACGGUGCUGAAGUAACAAAUGCCCUGCUUCCAGGAAAAGCCUCUAAGCAUCAGGUAACAUUAAAUCGUACCCCAAACCGACACAGGUGGUCAGGUAGAGAAUACCAAGGCGCUUGAGAGAACUCGGGUGAAGGAACUAGGCAAAAUGGUGCCGUAACUUCGGGAGAAGGCACGCUGGUGUGUAGGUGAAGUCCCUGCGGAUGGAGCUGAGACCAGUCGAAGAUACCAGCUGGCUGCAACUGUUUAUUAAAAACACAGCACUGUGCAAACACGAAAGUGGACGUAUACGGUGUGACGCCUGCCCGGUGCCGGAAGGUUAAUUGAUGGGGUUAUCCGUAAGGAGAAGCUCUUGAUCGAAGCCCCGGUAAACGGCGGCCGUAACUAUAACGGUCCUAAGGUAGCGAAAUUCCUUGUCGGGUAAGUUCCGACCUGCACGAAUGGCGUAAUGAUGGCCAGGCUGUCUCCACCCGAGACUCAGUGAAAUUGAACUCGCUGUGAAGAUGCAGUGUACCCGCGGCAAGACGGAAAGACCCCGUGAACCUUUACUAUAGCUUGACACUGAACAUUGAGCCUUGAUGUGUAGGAUAGGUGGGAGGCUUUGAAGCGUGGACGCCAGUCUGCGUGGAGCCAACCUUGAAAUACCACCCUUUAAUGUUUGAUGUUCUAACGUUGGCCCCUAAUCGGGGUUGCGGACAGUGUCUGGUGGGUAGUUUGACUGGGGCGGUCUCCUCCCAAAGAGUAACGGAGGAGCACGAAGGUUAGCUAAUCCUGGUCGGACAUCAGGAGGUUAGUGCAAUGGCAUAAGCUAGCUUGACUGCGAGCGUGACGGCGCGAGCAGGUGCGAAAGCAGGUCAUAGUGAUCCGGUGGUUCUGAAUGGAAGGGCCAUCGCUCAACGGAUAAAAGGUACUCCGGGGAUAACAGGCUGAUACCGCCCAAGAGUUCAUAUCGACGGCGGUGUUUGGCACCUCGAUGUCGGCUCAUCACAUCCUGGGGCUGAAGUAGGUCCCAAGGGUAUGGCUGUUCGCCAUUUAAAGUGGUACGCGAGCUGGGUUUAGAACGUCGUGAGACAGUUCGGUCCCUAUCUGCCGUGGGCGCUGGAGAAUUGAGGGGGGCUGCUCCUAGUACGAGAGGACCGGAGUGGACGCAUCACUGGUGUUCGGGUUGUCAUGCCAAUGGCACUGCCCGGUAGCUAAAUGCGGAAGAGAUAAGUGCUGAAAGCAUCUAAGCACGAAACUUGCCCCGAGAUGAGUUCUCCCUGAGACUUUAAGUCUCCUGAAGGAACGUUGAAGACGACGACGUUGAUAGGCCGGGUGUGUAAGCGCAGCGAUGCGUUGAGCUAACCGGUACUAAUGAACCGUGAGGCUUAACCU